GAGUUGCCCAACGCUCGCGAGGAAAGUCCCCCCACCUGUUCGGGCAGGUGACCGGGCGCAAGUCCGGAGCGGGAGACCGCUGGCUCUGGAACAGAAACGACACGUCUCGGCCCGACCGAUGAUGCGCGCGAACCCGACCGAGAGGAAGGGGAGCUAACCCGCAGAGGAUUGCGGUUGAUACCCCGUGGUUCGAAUCCGCGGAUCGUGUGCGCGGUUCGGAGCGCCUUCGGCGCGAGAACCGCGAGUCACGAUCGACCGCAUGGAGACGGCCGAGGAGCGAUGGAACGGCGAACCCUCACCGGUGCAAGUCCGUGCCGUGGUAGCCCGAACGCCCCGCGGCCUCGCCGCGGACGGCGCGGACGCUCAGCCGAAUGCCGGGACGAACAGAAGGGGGCUUACUCCUC
rnacentral:RNase_P_RNA from 1 species